ACGUUUGACACACUUAUUUUGUCCGCUAUAUUGUGACAAUUUUAUUUAUGGAUUUAUAGUAGGCACCACAGUUGCAUGGUUAGUAAGCAAGUACAAAAACAAAGCGAAGCGUUUAGCGUGGCAGUAAAAAUGAAAGAAGCUUAAAGAUGAAAGAACAGAACUACUUACCUCUCCUGCAACGUACAGACAAGCUAAUGAAUGGCAUGGACAGUCGAUUAUCCCAAGCGAUAAGGGAAAAAGUUCCGGCAAAUUUUCUCAAAUAUUCCUACAUACUCGUACAUAUUCAUGAAACAAAUGCGGCGAAUGUCAUCAAUUGUACGCAGGCAAAGACAAUGACGGAAUUGUGUGUGUGAACAAAAAUGAGCGCAAUGCCCGCAGUUGGCAGCAUGACAUUUAAUUGAAGAUAAUUUGCGCCGAAGACUAACAAUUAGAGCAACAAAUAGUCGCUGGUAGAGGGACUACAAAGGUUUCGCGAGUUGUGUGAAAGCCAAACGAACGAGAUCAUUUGUUACAGCUGCAAAUAAUUUAUGAAGUGCAUACAAAAAAGUUCGCAAAUAAUCGAGCAAAACAACAAUAAGAACACACGUUCGCAUCAUCAUUCGUCAUGACAAAGCGGGAAGCGCAUAAAAUAAAAGCACACACACACACAUGUGUA